rnacentral:rRNA from 1 species
AGAGUUUGAUCCUGGCUCAGGAUGAACGCUAGCUACAGGCUUAACACAUGCAAGUCGGAGGGGAAACGACAUCGAAAGCUUGCUUUUGAUGGGCGUCGACCGGCGCACGGGUGAGUAACGCGUAUCCAACCUGCCCACCACUUGGGGAUAACCUUGCGAAAGUAAGACUAAUACCCAAUGACGUCUCUAGAAGACAUCUGAAGGAGAUUAAAGAUUUAUCGGUAGAUUGGAUGGGGAUGCGGUCUGAUUAGCUUGUUGGCGGGGUAACGGCCACCAAGGCGACGAUCAGUAGGGGUUCUGAGAGGAAGGUCCCCCACAUUGGAACUGAGACACGGUCCAAACUCCUACGGGAGGCA